rnacentral:rRNA from 1 species
GGAAGACAUGAUGCGCAGACGGUGGAUGCCUCGGCGCUGGGUGCCGACGAAGGACGUGGCAACGCUGCGAUAAGACGAGGGGAGCCGCGAGCAGGCUGUGAUCCUCGUAUCUCCGAAUGGGGCAACCCCAUCACCUCGGUGAUGACCGGCCUUGGCCGGAGGGAACCUGGGGAACUGAAACAUCUCAGUACCCAGAGGAAGUAGGACCGUCCCCCUAGUAGUGGCGAGCGAACGGGGGCAUGCCCAAACGUGUUCCGUGUCAAGCGAUCAGGCGUUGCGGAAUGCGGGUUGUAAGACGGAAGACGGCACGCUGAUUCGUGCCACUGGCCCUUGGAAUGCCAAUCGAAGCAGUUUGGAACACUGCACCAGAGACCGUGAGAGUCGGGUAGAUAGCAGCUGACCAAUCCAGCCUUCCGCUCUUGAGUAGCACUCCCCACGGGCAAGGGAGUGUGAAGCUGGGGAGCCCACUCCCCAAGGCGAGCUACACCCAGUGACCGAUAGCGCACAGUACCGUGAGGGAACGGUGAAAAGUACC